GUAGAUGACGCUGGCGGCGUGCUUAACACAUGCAAGUCGAACGAUGAUCUCCAGCUUGCUGGGGGGAUUAGUGGCGAACGGGUGAGUAACACGUGAGUAACCUGCCCUUGACUCUGGGAUAAGCCUGGGAAACUGGGUCUAAUACCGGAUACGACCGUCCCGCGCAUGCGGUGGUGGUGGAAAGCUUUUGCGGUUUUGGAUGGACUCGCGGCCUAUCAGCUUGUUGGUGGGGUAAUGGCCUACCAAGGCGACGACGGGUAGCCGGCCUGAGAGGGUGACCGGCCACACUGGGACUGAGACACGGCCCAGACUCCUACGGGAGGCAGCAGUGGGGAAUAUUGCACAAUGGGCGAAAGCCUGAUGCAGCGACGCCGCGUGAGGGAUGACGGCCUUCGGGUUGUAAACCUCUUUCAGUAGGGAAGAAGCGAAAGUGACGGUACCUGCAGAAGAAGCGCCGGCUAACUACGUGCCAGCAGCCGCGGUAAUACGUAGGGCGCAAGCGUUAUCCGGAAUUAUUGGGCGUAAAGAGCUCGUAGGCGGUUUGUCGCGUCUGCUGUGAAAGACCGGGGCUCAACUCCGGUUCUGCAGUGGGUACGGGCAGACUAGAGUGAUGUAGGGGAGACUGGAAUUCCUGGUGUAGCGGUGAAAUGCGCAGAUAUCAGGAGGAACACCGAUGGCGAAGGCAGGUCUCUGGGCAUUAACUGACGCUGAGGAGCGAAAGCAUGGGGAGCGAACAGGAUUAGAUACCCUGGUAGUCCAUGCCGUAAACGUUGGGCACUAGGUGUGGGGGACAUUCCACGUUUUCCGCGCCGUAGCUAACGCAUUAAGUGCCCCGCCUGGA
rnacentral:rRNA from 1 species